rnacentral:rRNA from 1 species
GUACGGCGAGUGAACCGGGAUGAGCUCAAAUUUAAAAUCUGGCGUCUUUCAGGCGUCCGAGUUGUAAUCUAUAGAGGCGUUUUCCGCGCCGGACCGCGUCCAAGUCUCUUGGAAUAGAGUAUCAAAGAGGGUGACAAUCCCGUACUUGACGCGACAACCGGUGCUCUGUGAUACGUUCUCAAUGAGUCGAGUUGUUUGGGAAUGCAGCUCUAAAUGGGUGGUAAAUUCCAUCUAAGGCUAAAUAUUGGCGAGAGACCGAUAGCGAACAAGUACCGUGAGGGAAAGAUGAAAAGCACUUUGGAAAGAGAGUUAAACAGCACGUGAAAUUGUUAAAAGGGAAACGAUUGAAGUCAGUCGUGUGAAAGGUAUUCAGCCGUCUCUGGCGGUGUAUUUGCCUUUCACGGGUCAACAUCAGUUUGAUCCGGUAGAAAAAGGCAGGAGGAAGGUGGCACCCUCGGGUGUGUUAUAGCCUCUUGUCAUAUGUGCCGGACCAGACUGAGGAACGCAGCUUGCCGCAAGGCCGGGGUUCGCCCACGUACAAGCUUAGGAUGUUGACAUAAUGGCUUUAAACGACCCGCUGAA